AUAACCUUUAAGUUAGUCCAGAGAGGCUAAUAAGGUACACAAUGAUGUAGCUGCAAAAACAGCUUUAUCUAUUAUGACCUUUAAACUCUUACUCUGGUAAGAGUUUUUUUAUU
rfam:Pelosinus sp. TFO1, complete genome.